ACUCCUACGGGAGGCAGCAGUUAGGAAUUUUGGGCAAUGGGCGCAAGCCUGACCCAGCAACGCCGCGUGGGUGACGAAGGCCUUCGGGUUGUAAAGCCCUUUUCUGAGGGAAGAUGAUGACGGUACCUCAGGAAGAAGCACCGGCUAACUACGUGCCAGCAGCCGCGGUAAUAC
rnacentral:rRNA from 1 species